AGAGUUUGAUCAUGGCUCAGGACGAACGCUGGCGGCGUGCCUAAUACAUGCAAGUAGAACGCUGAAGAGAGGAGCUUGCUCUUCUUGGAUGAGUUGCGAACGGGUGAGUAACGCGUAGGUAACCUGCCUUGUAGCGGGGGAUAACUAUUGGAAACGAUAGCUAAUACCGCAUAACAAUGGAUGACACAUGUCAUUUAUUUGAAAGGGGCAAUUGCUCCAUCUACAAGAUGGACCUGCGUUGUAUUAGCUAGUAGGUGAGGUAAUGGCUCACCUAGGCGACGAUACAUAGCCGACCUGAGAGGGUGAUCGGCCACACUGGGACUGAGACACGGCCCAGACUCCUACGGGAGGCAGCAGUAGGGAAUCUUCGGCAAUGGGGGCAACCCUGACCGAGCAACGCCGCGUGAGUGAAGAAGGUUUUCGGAUCGUAAAGCUCUGUUGUAAGUCAAGAACGGGUGUGAGAGUGGAAAGUUCACACUGUGACGGUAGCUUACCAGAAAGGGACGGCUAACUACGUGCCAGCAGCCGCGGUAAUACGUAGGUCCCGAGCGUUGUCCGGAUUUAUUGGGCGUAAAGCGAGCGCAGGCGGUUUGAUAAGUCUGAAGUUAAAGGCUGUGGCUCAACCAUAGUUCGCUUUGGAAACUGUCAAACUUGAGUGCAGAAGGGGAGAGUGGAAUUCCAUGUGUAGCGGUGAAAUGCGUAGAUAUAUGGAGGAACACCGGUGGCGAAAGCGGCUCUCUGGUCUGUAACUGACGCUGAGGCUCGAAAGCGUGGGGAGCGAACAGGAUUAGAUACCCUGGUAGUCCACGCCGUAAACGAUGAGUGCUAGGUGUUGGAUCCUUUCCGGGAUUCAGUGACGCAGCUAACGCAUUAAGCACUCCGCCUGGGGA
rnacentral:rRNA from 1 species